rnacentral:rRNA from 1 species
AUUGAACGCUGGCGGCAGGCCUAACACAUGCAAGUCGAACGAGUGGCGGACGGGUGAGUAAUGUCUGGGAAACUACCUUAUGGAGGGGGAUAACUACGGGAAACUGUAGCUAAUACCGCAUACCAUAGGAUGAGCCCAUGUGGGAUUAGCUAGUUGGUGAGGUAAUGGCUCACCAAGCCGACGAUCCCUAGCUGGUCUGAGAGGAUGACCAGCCACAAUGGAACUGAGACACGGCCCAGACUCCUACGGGAGGCAGCAGUGGGGAAUAUUGCGCAAUGGGGGCAAGCCUGAUGCAGCCAUGCCGAGUGAAUGAAGAAGGCCUUCGGGUUGUAAAGUACUUUCGGCAGGGAGGCGUUACCUGCAGAAGAAGCACCGGCUAACUCCGUGCCAGCCGCCGCGGUAAUAC